ensembl:rRNA 5S_rRNA 5S ribosomal RNA
GUCUAUGGCCAUACCACACUGAAUGAGCCCAAUCUCAUCUGCUCUCAGAAGCUGAGCAGAGUUACGUCUAGCUAGUACUUGGAUAGGAGAUCUAUAUUUAGUUUAUUAGAAAUUUGAACAUAUACA